rnacentral:rRNA from 1 species
GUCCUUUAGUAUAUAAUUUAAGGUUUAACCUGCCCUAUGAUUAAUAUUUAAUGGCCGCAGUAAUUUGACUGUGCAAAGGUAGCAUAAUCAUUAGUUUUUUAAUUAAAAGCUUGUAUGAAUGGUUGGACGAGAUAAAUUCUGUCUCUUAAUAAUAAUUAGAAUUUAAUUUUUAAGUUAAAAAGCUUAAAUAAUUAUAAAAGACGAGAAGACCCUAUAGAUUUUUAUUUAAUUUUAAUUAAUUAUUUUUUAAGAUUAAUAAUUAGAUUAGUUAUAAUUAAAUUUUAUUGGGGUAAUAAAAAGAUUAAGAUAAUUCUUUUUUAAUAUUUACAUAAAUAUUUGAAUAUAUGAUCCAGAAUUUUUGAUAAAAGAUUAAAUUACCUUAGGGAUAACAGCGUAAUUUUUUUAAAGAGUUCUUAUCAAUAAAAAAGUUUGCGACCUCGAUGUUGGAUUAAAAAAUAUUUUAGGUGCAGAAGCUUAAAUUAAUGGUCUGUUCGACCAGUAGUUUUUU